rnacentral:antisense_RNA from 1 species
UUUUUUGUAAUAUGGAAGUUGUAAAGCUGUGUUUUAAUAGGAUUACCUUAGGAACAAGAGGACUACUUUUUAAAGAUACAAGAUCCCGCUGCGUUGGCAAUUCUGUUAUCAGAAAGAUAGUGAUUGAUACAAAACAGUAAGAAACUGUAGAAUUGCAGGACCCAUAAUCCUUACAAGGAAGAUUUAGAGAGUGCUGUGUCAAUCACUCAUCAGCACCUCACAGAUAUUAUCUCAAUUCGUCCUGGCAACCAUCACUGCCCCUACUUAGCAGUCUCAGAGAGGAGACUCAACUCACACAGGGGCCAAGAGCUGGACCAUGGCCAACCAGGGGCAGCAGAACACAGUGGUUGAGCAUGGGCUUUGGUGAAGGAUGGCGGGGGUUCAAAUCCCAGUUCUCCCCCACCUCUCUGCUUCGCUCCGGUUCCUGGGCCUCUGAGCUGGUCUCCUCCACUGUGGAGUAACUGUGACUGCUCAUCUGCAGAUUCCUUCUGUGCUGGACACGGUUCCAACUUUCCGACUACUCCCGCAGGAGCUCAUUUAGUGGAGACAACAGGAUCUUGCUUACUGUCAUAGUGAGGAAGAAAUGGAAAUAUCUGUGCAGGGCCCAAGCCCGGCCUGGCGCGGGAGAGGCAUCAAUAAAUGCAGCUUGAGUUCAGAAGCAGCUGGUCUGUGGCUCAGUCAGCCUGGCUUCCUGCUGGGUCUUCACAGUGCUGAGCUACCUUCCUGGAGAGAACCAAAGUCCAGGCUGUGGAGAUGCCUGUGGUCCACCGGGGCAAAGCAGCGGCCCAUCAGGACGCUUCGGAGGUGGAUGCAUCUGAGUUCCAUGACAUCGGGGACAUGGCCCCACUCCUGUUCUGGAGGUCACGGGCCUGCUGAACCUCUUGUACCAGGUCAGCCACUAGGUUCAUCUGGCAGGCCCUGAGAGCCCCCACCAGGUGGGCCACUGUUGCGUUCUCUUUCUCUGUGUUCUU